rnacentral:rRNA from 1 species
GACGAACGCUGGCGGCGUGCCUAACACAUGCAAGUCGAGCGGAGCGGCGGACGGGUGAGUAAUGCCUAGGAAUCUGCCUGGUCGUGGGGGAUAACGUCCGGAAACGGGCGCUAAUAUCGCAUACUAUCAGCUGCGCCUCGGUCGGAUUAGCUAGUUGGUGGGGUAAAGGCCUACCAAGGCGACGAUCCGUAACUGGUAUGUGCGGAUGAUCAGUCAAAUUGGAACUGAGACACGGUCCAGACGCCUACGGGAGGCAGCAGGGGGGAAUAUUGGACAAUGGGCGAAAGCCUGAUCCAGACAUGCCGCGUGUGUGAAGAAGGUCUUCGGAUUGUAAAGCACUUUAAGUUGGGAGGCGUUACCAACAGAAUAAGCACCGGCUAACUGCGUGCCAGCAGCCGCGGUAAUAC